rnacentral:rRNA from 1 species
AUACGUAGGUGGCGAGCGUUGUCCGGAUUUACUGGGUGUAAAGGGCGAGUAGGCGGGCUUGCAAGUCAGAUGUGAAAUACCGAGGCUCAACUUCGGGGCUGCAUUUGAAACUGCGAGUCUUGAGUGAUGGAGAGGCAGGCGGAAUUCCCAGUGUAGCGGUAAAAUGCAUAGAUAUUGGGAAGAACACCAGUGGCGAAGGCGGCCUGCUGGACAUUAACUGACGCUGAGGAGCGAAAGUGUGGGGAGCAAACAGGAUUAGAUACCCUGGUAGUCCACACCGUAAACGAUGGAUACUAGGUGUGCGGGGACUGACCCCCUGCGUGCCGCAGUUAACACAAUAAGUAUCCCACCUGGGGAGUACGAUCGCAAGAUUGAAACUCAAAUGAAUUGGCGGGG